rnacentral:lncRNA from 1 species
AGGGCAGAAACAGAAUGCGCCUUCAGUCUGUGCUGGGGCCCGGGGGCCCACUCCGUGCAGGCUUUGCUCUGGGAGAACAAAGAGGUGCUGUCGGGCCCCCAAGGCUGGCAGGGCCUGAGGUGUUGCAGAGUUUGCUGGGAUGUGGCCAGCUGCAAUUAUCCAAGCUGCUCCACAGCCGGAUGGACGCCCUGCCCGUUCGGGUCUGUCCGUCUUGCAGGGGUGGUGGGUGGCCACCAGAAUUGUCCUGGGGAGAGAAAGGUGAGGGCAGGCCGGGAGAUUGCAGUGGCUCAUGCCUGUCAUCCCAGCACUUUGGGAAGCUGAGGCGGGCGGAUCACCUGAGGUCAGGAGUUCGAGACCAGCCUGGCCAACAUGGUGAAACCCCGUCUCUACAAAAAUACAAAAAUUAGCCAGACGUGGUGGCUCACACCUGUCAUCCCAGCACUUUGGGAAGCUGAGGCAGGCGGAUCACCUGAGGUCAGGAGUUCGAGACCAGCCUGGCCAACAUGGUGAAACCCCGUCUUUACAAAAAUACAAAAAUUAGCUGGGCAUGAUGGCGGGUGCCUAUAAUCCCAGCUACUUGGGAGACUGAGGCAGGAGACUCGCUUGAACCCAGGAGACAGACGUUGCAGUGAGCCGAGAUCACAGCAUUGCACUCCAGCCUGGACAGCAGAGCGAGACUCCCUCUCGAAAAAAUAAAUAAAAAUAAAAUAAAAAGCGAGAAUGGGGAGGGAAGAGUAGCGAGGAAGAUUCCGGAAGACUCUGCUCCUCUGUGGGAUGUAGGUCCAGGAACAAAGAGCUGGGUCAGCGCUUCCCAGGGAGGUGAGGAAGGAGGGAGCCACAGCGGUUGUAGAGGGAGAGAAGCUCCUUCCUUCAUCCACCUGAGCCCGGGUCUCCUGUGUGGCCACAGCCUCUGCAGCCUCUGCCCCACCUGCAGCUGCUCAGAAAUGCAAACUCACCCACUGUAUGACAUGCUCUGGAUCUCAGUCGGCCUUUGCACCGCAGACCUGGGUGGUUGAUCGAACGCUAAAGCUCCAGACCUGGAGAUGCCUCAGAGGAAGCACCUGGCAAGUAGGAUCUCCCUGGUCCUGCGCCGACCCAAAGCUCCUAGCUAGGUGCGUGCAGUGAGAGGUCAAAGAGGGAUCAAGUUUAUAUCUGCCGCUUGCAUUCCGCACGAUGACUUAAAACAAACAAAACAAACAAACAAACAAAAAACAAAAAACAAAACCCCAGCCGAGCACAGUGGCUCACAUCUGUCAUCCCAGCACUUUGGGAGGCCGACACGGGUGGAUCACGAGGUCAAGAGAUCGAAACCAGCCUGGCCAACGUGGUAAAACCCCGUCUCUACUAAAAAUACAAAUAUUAGCUGGGCGUGGUGGCAGGCACCUGUAACCCCAGCAACUCGGGAGGCUGAGGCAGGAGAAUCGCUUGAACCCGGGAGGUGGAGGUUGCGGUGAGCUGAGAUCAUGCCAUUGCACUCCAGCCUGGCGACAGAGCGAGACUCUGUCUCAAAAUGAAUAAAUAAAUAGGAAAGUAGUGUGGGUCUGCAUUCUGCAGGUUUUGGAAACACAUUUCUGAGUGCAUAUUUCAGGUGAGGAGAGGUGGGGACUCCAGGCAGCGUGCACAGUUUAGACCCUAACUGUGGGCCGGGCGUGGUGGCUCACUCCUCCACCCUCAGCCUCCCGAGUAGCUGAGACUGCAGGCGUGUACCGCCAUGCCCGCCUAAUUUUUUUAUUUUUUUCUAGAGAUGGGGUCUGACUAUGUUGCCCAGGCUGGUCUCAAACUCUUGGCCUCAAGCAAUCCUCCUGCCUCGACCUCCCAAAGUGCUGGGAUUACAGGCGUGAGCCACCGCGCCCGGCCAGAAGAAAGACUUUAUGGAGAAGAAUGUUGACAUUAUGACAGCGAAUUGUGUGCCUGCUGGCUGUCUGGGUUUCACCCACCCAUCACAGCCCCACCCAGCCCCCACCAAUCAGAACGUAAGCCGCCGAGGACAGGAAGGUUUCUCCUUGGUCUGUUUCUCUCACUACAGGGACCCCGGGAAAUAGAAUGGCACCUGUCACACAGUAGCUUUCAGACACACACAUUCAGAGUCCAGAAUGUUCACCAUUACACCAUGGAACUAUCUUCACGGUAGCUUCCUAAUACAUGUUUGUUCCCUCGAUAAAUGAAACAAGGGCGUUGGGACUCCAGCCUGUCAUCCCAGCACUUUGGGAAGUAGAGGUGGGUAGGUUCCUUGAGUUCAGGAGUUUGAGACCAGCCUGGACAACACAGCAAGAUCCCGCCUCUGCAAAAAAAAAAAAAAAAAAAAAAAUACACUAGAUUAGCCGGGCAUGGUGGCACGUGCCUGUAGGCCCAGCUAAAAAAACGCACAAAACCCUUAACGGACAUUUGUAGUCCCCAUUUGAUCUAAAACACUGUGAUAUUGUUUGUGUAAUCUGCUUUUAAAGUCACCAAAAGUGCUUUGUUGUAAAUACUCUGUGAUAACAUUUGCUUUGUUAACGUAUUUUAAAUGAAAUAUAGUUAUAAUUUCCCUCAUGACAUUUUCAUUUAAAUAUAUAUAAUUUAAAUGUCAUGAGGGAAAUUAUAAUUUAAUUUAAAAAAUGAUUUAAAUUUAUUUAAUAAAUUUAAUUAAUAAAUAAUAUAU